rnacentral:rRNA from 1 species
GAUGAACGCUGGCGGCGUGCUUAACACAUGCAAGUCGAACGGAAAGGCCCCUGCUUGCAGGGGUACUCGAGUGGCGAACGGGUGAGUAACACGUGGGUGAUCUGCCCUGCACUUCGGGAUAAGCUUGGGAAACUGGGUCUAAUACCGGAUAGGAUCACAUGUUGGAUGGUGUGGUGGAAAGUUUUUCGGUGUGGGAUGAGCUGGCGGCCUAUCAGCUUGUUGGUGGGGUAAUGGCCUACCAAGGCGUCGACAGGAAGCCGGCCUGAGAGGGGGUACGGCCACGUUGCGCCUGAGAUACGGCCCAGACUCCUACGGGAGGCAGAGGUGGGGAAUAUUAUACAAUGGGCGCAAGCCUGGUGCAGCGACGCCGCGUGGGGGAAGACGGCCUUCGGGUUGUGAACUACUUUCGCUAGAGACGAAGCGCAAGUGACGGUACCUGGAGAAGAAGCACCGGCUAACUACGUG